CUUAAAACACUGGUUCCCGUACGAUCAUCGAAAUUAAGCAAUGUUGAAACUGGUCAGUCCCUAGAUGGGUGACCGUUUGGAAAUAUCAAGUGCUGCAAU